GACGAACGCUGGCGGCGCGCUUAACACAUGCAAGUCGAGCGAGAACCCAGGCUUCGGCCUGGGGGAAAGCGGCGAACGGGUGAGUAACACGUGGGUAAUCUGCCCUCGGCAUCGGGAUAGCCCGGGGAAACCCGGAUUAAUACCGGAUGGCCCAGCAGCUCUUCGGGGCGGCUGGAAAAGGUAGCUUCGGCCUCCGGCCGAGGAGGAGCCCGCGGCGGAUUAGCUUGUUGGUGAGGUAACGGCUCACCAAGGCUCCGAUCCGUAGCUGGUCUGAGAGGACGAUCAGACACACUGGGACUGAGACACGGCCCAGACUCCUACGGGAGGUAGCAGUGGGGAAUCUUGCGCAAUGGCCUAACGGCUGACGCAGCGACGCCGCGUGAGGGAUGAAGCUCUUCGGAGUGUAAACCUCUUUUGCCCGGGACGAACUGCCAGAUUUAUCUGGCUUGACGGUACCGGGUGAAUAAGCACCGGCUAACUCCGUGCCAGCCGCCGCUGUAA
rnacentral:rRNA from 1 species